CUGCAGGUUUUACUGAAACAACCAACAUCAGUCUGGCUUGAACCAACUUGCUUGGGCCUCUACAGAGUUUAUUGAAAUAAGAACUGGAUACACAUGCUGAUUUUCAUCUGUGAAAGGUGGAGUAAGACACUGAGCACAACCCUUGGUGAAGUCAAGUGCAGUUGUCAGUGAUCCAAGGUCUCCCAAAAAGUCAG